rnacentral:rRNA from 1 species
GACGGAGGGUGCUAGCGUUGUUCGGAAUGACUGGGCGUAAAGGGCGCGUAGGCGGCUUGGUUAGUCGGGUGUGAAAGCCCGGGGCUCAACCCCGGAACGGCAUCCGAUACUGCCUGGCUUGAGACCGGGAGAGGAGGGUGGAAUAUCCAGUGUAGAGGUGAAAUUCGUAGAUAUUGGAUGGAACACCAGUGGCGAAAGCGGCUCUCUGGCCCGGUUCUGACGCUGAGGCGCGAAAGCGUGGGGAGCAAACAGG